rnacentral:rRNA from 1 species
CCUACGGGUGGCAGCAGUGGGGAAUAUUGGGCAAUGGGCGCAAGCCUGACCCAGCAACGCCGCGUGAAGGAAGAAGGCCCUCGGGUUGUAAACUUCUUUUAUCAAGGACGAAACAAAUGACGGUACUUGAUGAAUAAGCCACGGCUAACUACGUGCCAGCAGCCGCGGUAAUACGGAGGAUGCGAGCGUUAUCCGGAUUUAUUGGGUUUAAAGGGUGCGCAGGCGGAUUUUUAAGUCAGCGGUCAAAUCGUGGGGCUCAACCCCAUCCAGCCGUUGAAACUGGGGAUCUAGAGUGUGCGAGAGGUAUGCGGAAUGCGUGGUGUAGCGGUGAAAUGCAUAGAUAUCACGCAGAACCCCGAUUGCGAAGGCAGCAUACCGGUGCACAACUGACGCUCAGGCACGAAAGCGUGGGUAUCGAACAGGAUUAGAUACCCCAGUAGUC